ensembl:lncRNA
AGAAGAGGAUGACUUCCUUUUUUUUUGUUGUUUGUUUUUUAUUUUGGACAGCCACAGGCCCACCACUCACUGGGCUGAUAGCUUUGAACAACCUACAGAUCCUUCUGAGGUUGCAUCUGUGAAAGCAGAAACUAAAAACAUCUCCUGUGUCAAUUCUAGAGGGAAUUAAAGCAGGGGUCCCUACCCUGUGGGAUCCAAUGCCUGGCGAUCUGAGGUGGAGCUGAUGUGAUAUUAAUAGAAAUAAAGUGCACAGUAAACACAAUGCACUUGAAUCAUCCUGAAACCGUCUUCCCCCCUUGGUCUGUGGAAAAAUGACCUUCCACGAAAUUGGUCCUGGGUGCCAAAAACGUUGGGGACUGCCAGAUUAAAGUGAUAACUUGUCCCCAACAUGUGAAGGAUUGAAAUAAGACUGUAUGGUCAUUGCCCUGCCCCCACGUCCUCUGCCUGCUUUCUGCCUGUGGAAAAGUUAGUCAAAGGGUAAGUUUAAUCAGAGAAAUGAGAACACGUGAAAACAAAGGAAAACAGUCAAAAGGAGACCAAAUAAUAAUGUGGUCAUAAAGCAUCCGGAGAAGGCAAUGGCAACCCACUCCAGUACUCUUGCCUGGAAAAUCCCAUGGACGGAGGAGCCUGGUGGGCUGCAGUCCAUGGGGUUGCUAAGAGUCGGACACGACUAAAGGACUUCACUUUCACUUUUCAUGCAUUGGAGAAGGAAAUGGCAACCCACUCCAGUGUUCUUGCCUGGAGAAUCCCAGGAAUGGGGGAGCCUGGUGGGCUUCCAUCUAUGGGGUCGCACAGAGUCGGACACAACUGAAGUGACUUAGCAGCAGCAGCCGCAUAAAGCAUCGGAGAAGGCAAUGGUACCCCACUCCAGUGUUCUUGCCUGGAAAAUCCCACGGACAGAGCAGCCUGAUAGGCUGCAGUCCAUGGGGUCGCUAAGAGUCAGACACGACUGAAGCGACUUAGCAGCAUUAAGCACAGUCGAGGACACUUAGUUCCUUCUCAAGGGCUGUAGAUAUUAUCCUGAGCCAUAUUCUGUGAGCUGUCUUGAAGAUCCUGAAACUGCAGGUGGAGAAGUUAACUACAUGAUGGCCAGAUUCUACCCAGGACAUGAGCUGCCACGAUUCUGGGCAUUCUCGCCAGUUGGUUCUGACACCUGUCUGCUGUUGGGGGCCGCUUGUGAGCACUGAGUGUCAUUUGGGCGUUUUGCCAGUUGGUUCUGACAUCUACCAUUGAGGACCAUUUUGGGGACAUGUGUGUUUGGGACUCUACAGGUCACCCUCGGAGAGAGUUUAUGACUGAUCUGUCAUUUGGUGUGUGAGUGUGUAUUCCGUUUGUGUGGUUGGUACUCUUGUUGCCUUAUGUAAAAUGGGAAAUUCAGGUUCAAUUCAUUAAGAAAAAUUUUAGCUGUGAAAUCAUGACCAAAAAAAUGAUUUUUUUGGACAAUGUAUGGCAGCAAUAUUCUUCAGACUCCAGAGAAGAUUGGUUAAGGUGAAACUCUUGAAAUUCCAAAAACCCAGUUCUUUUUGCAUAUGUAGUUAUAGAAGUCUAGUUUGAUAAAACUCUUUUAUCAGACCCUGGGAAAACAAAAAUAUGCCUAGGAGAAAAUCUGAAGUUAAUGCUUAUCAUGUCCUUGAAAUACAAACACAGUCCACUUUGCCUGGAUCUUCAGCCUUGGGUUAAAUAUAAAACUUCAAGCCAAGGAAAAAGAAAAGAUAGAAGCCUUUUAAAACUGAGAAUGUAAAUUUGACUAUUCUAUUAUCCAUAAAGUGAUAAGUUUAAUUGCAAUGCCUAAUUCAAUACAUGUAAAAAGAUGAAGCAAAGAGAUCUCUGUUUGUCUGGACGUUUGUAUGUCUCAAUAUGUGUUUUUGCCAUUAGAUAAUAUUGCUGAGGUUAAUUUGUAAAGAGGCUCUAUUUAAUUGGCCUUAAAAAACAUAAGUGCUUACAAAUCAAACAAAUCUAAAUUUACCUACUUUUGUCUUCUCAUAAGACCAAGAGGGAAACUAAAGAGGUUUGGGCUUAUUAAACACACAUGAUGUACCAUUAAAGAAAAAUUAUGCUGUGAAAAAUGUAUACUUCUAGAUGUAUGAAAUAUAUCCUUAGGUCUGCAAUCAGAAAAUGCUGGUGUAUCAGUUCAAUCACUUGGUUUUGUUAAGGUUCCAAGGGUUAAAAAUUGUGACAUGUAAAAAUGAUAAGGGAAACAUUUCUAUGUGUAAAACAAGUAGAACAUGUGUUGUUGGCGAAGAGAAAGGAUAAAGAACAGAGGCAUUUUUGGAAAAAGACGAUAAUUAUUUUGUCCUACAAUUGUUUGUUUCUAGAUGAGAAAAUAAAGAACAAAGUUGUUUGGAUCCAGAAAAUGAUAAAAGACUUAUGAAAAAGGAACUUUGAGGAAAGAAUUUUGUAUGUUGUCAGGAUUAAGAUCAGACUGAAUUUAAUUGUUUAUGAAUGUUAUUAACACUAGGCUGAUGCAAGGCUGAACUUGUUUUUUUUUUUUUUUGUCUCUGUUAAGAAAGCAGAGUUCUCCUAGAAUAUUGAUCUGAUUUUGAUAACAGAGACUGCUGAUGGAAAGUAAUUGUUUUGUUUCUAAUCAUACUUCUGACCCCAAUGUUCAGGAUGGAAACACUGCCCAAUAAAGCUGAGGCAGAGUAUAACUAUUCGUGAUUUGUAAGACUGCUGGCUCUAAGUUUACCGCUUAAAGUACACAUACAGUGUCUGUGUGACAACUGGGUAGAGAUGAUAAAAUGAACGGCCUCUAAAACAUUUCUCUGUUAGCAUACCUCUGAGCUUGUUCAUGCUAUCUUAUGAAAUUUCCCCCAACGUGGACAACUAGGUGAUAUAUAAACAAAAAGGAGGCCAAGUGUCGAAGGAGAUGGCUGGGCCCAGAGCAGGCAGAGAAAAGAGCCACUCUGGCAGUGUUGGGAAAAUACAUGGAUUAUCAGUGAUUCCUAUCAAAGGAGUCACAAUUAAAAGGGGGAAUGGAUGGAAGAAAUGUUCACAUACUGAGGUAUGGGGAAGUCAUUCUGGCCUAUACAUGAUUUAAUUUAAACUUUAGGCUAACCAAAACAGCCUGUUGGGGACGCCAGCAGUGAGAAUGAGACCUAACCACUGGACCGCCAGUGAGGUUCUAGGAGUUUGCUUUGUCAACUGAAUUCUCAUUGUCACAGUUUGUGAAAUAAUUUGACAACAGCCCUUAGUUCUUAACCAGUGGGCAUGUCUACCAACCAACUGAUGCUUGCCCGGAAUUUCCAAUAUACUCAAUGGUGAAGUGCC